CCUACGGGGGGCUGCAGUGGGGAAUAUUGGACAAUGGGGGGAACCCUGAUCCAGCCAUGCCGCGUGUGUGGAGAAGGCCCUCGGGUUGUAAAGCACUUUCAGUGAGGAAGAACGCCUGGUGGUUAAUACCCAUCAGGAAAGACAUCACUCACAGAAGAAGCACCGGCUAACUCCGUGCCAGCAGCCGCGGUAAUACGGAGGGUGCGAGCGUUAAUCGGAAUUACUGGGCGUAAAGCGCGCGUAGGUGGCUUGAUAAGCCGGUUGUGAAAGCCCCGGGCUCAACCUGGGAACGGCAUCCGGAACUGUCAAGCUAGAGUGCAGGAGAGGAAGGUAGAAUUCCCGGUGUAGCGGUGAAAUGCGUAGAGAUCGGGAGGAAUACCAGUGGCGAAGGCGGCCUUCUGGACUGACACUGACACUGAGGUGCGAAAGCGUGGGUAGCAAACAGGAUUAGAUACCCUUGUAGUC
rnacentral:rRNA from 1 species